CCCUUAGAUGUUCUGGGCUGCACGCGCGCUACACUGAAGCGUUCAACGAGUAUUUCACCUUGCCCGGGAGGGUUGGGUAAUCUUUUUAAAACGCUUCGUGAUGGGGAUAGAUUAUUGCAAUUAUUAAUCUUCAACGAGGAAUUCCUAGUAAGCGCGAGUCAUCAGCUCGUACUGAUUACGUCCCUGCCCUUUGUACACACCGCCCGUCGCUCCUACCGAUUUCGAGUGGUCCGGUGAAUCUUUUGGAAUUAGAGUGCAAGCUCAAACUAAGAUCGAUAAACCUUAUCACUUAGAGGAAGGAGAAGUCGUAACA
rnacentral:rRNA from 1 species